UGAUGUGAUCCUCAUGAAGUGUUUCA
rnacentral:piRNA from 1 species